rnacentral:rRNA from 1 species
AUUGAACGCUGGCGGCAGGCCUAACACAUGCAAGUCGAGCGGAUGAAGGGAGCUUGCUCCUGGAUUCAGCGGCGGACGGGUGAGUAAUGCCUAGGAAUCUGCCUGGUAGUGGGGGAUAACGUCCGGAAACGGGCGCUAACACCGCAUACGUCCUGAGGGAGAAAGUGGGGGAUCUUCGGACCUCACGCUAUCAGAUGCGCCUAGGUCGGCUUAGCUAGUUGGUGGGGUAAAGGCCUACCAAGGCGACGAUCCGUAACUGGUCUGAGAGGAUGAUCAGCCACACUGGAACUGAGACACGGUCCAGACUCCUACGGGAUGCAGCAGUGGGGAAUAUUGGACAAUGGGCGAAAGCCUGAUCCAGCCAUGCCGCGUGUGUGAAGAAGGUGUUCGGAUUGUAAAGCACUUUAAGUUGGGAGGAAGGGCAGUAAGUUAAUACCUUGCUGUUUUGACGUUACCAACAGAAUAAGCACCGGCUAACUUCGUG